rnacentral:tRNA from 1 species
GGCACUGUAGCAUAGCGGUAAGGAGCAGGGCUUGUAACUGAAAGGUUGCUGGUUCAAUUCCUGGCUGGGGCA